rnacentral:lncRNA from 1 species
UACUUUAAUGUACUCAAUUCUCAUUCAUACCUGACAAAGUUAUGAGAGAUUAAAUAGCAUUUAUUGCUAUCUACGUUGGUGUUGAUAAUGAUAAAGUUAUUUAACGUCAACACUGAUUCAUUUUAUUAUUGAUUACGUUCCACAAAAAAUAAAUCGGUGAUAUGGAAAUCGAUUUCAAAACCUAUUUCGGUCCAUUGUUUAAUUGUUUGUAUACAAGUACUCGGUGGACAAUCAAAUUGAGCAAUCAUUCUGAUUCAACAUUUUCAGCAUUUCCAACGUUAGGCGCAUCGACGAUUGUUAUGACAUCACUUGCAGCUUGGGCAUUUUCCUAUCUAUCGUCUACAGACUACAGCUAACCGAUUUUUCAACAUGGAAACAAUGAAGGCAUUGACUGUAACAGUAUCGGGCGGUAAAUCAUCGGGCGUUUAGUUUUCGGCGCGUGAGUCAGGUGUUGUGUAAUCGGAAAGCGUCCCCGCUCAAACAGCCCCCGGCGACCCUUCUGUGGAUGCAAUCGGUGGCGCGAACAUUCGUGGCACGUCCUUUGUUGACCGUUUUGUUUUGGAGUGCCAUCCGGUUCCUGAUGGUGGGGGGAGGGGACAGGUGAGCGCAGGUAUCGUGCCGCUUGGCGUUCAGUCCACCUCAACACGCCGGCCUGCGCGCGCGCUUGGCCCGCACAUAAAUACUGUUAAAUAUGGAAAUGGCAAGUCAGUCCGCGACAGGUGCGCGGCCGCGGCAUUCGUGCACGUGUGCUAGUGAGUGCGCCAGCGCUGUUGCUUUCUCCACAGGCUUCAUCAUUGAUUUAUGAAACUGGAGUACAACUGAAAAUGAAGGGUUAAUCCAUGAACACAUUGGAAAUGAUUAAACGUCAGAAGAAGCAAUAUUUGGUUGACGUGAGUAUAAAUCAAUACACAAGUGUAUUGUAUGUAUCUAGCGUGGUAUUCAUCCAAUAUUCUUUGUAUGCUAAUACACGUGUCCAAUAUUUUAUAUUAUUAUAUUAAUGUAAGAACAUCUUCCUCUAUCAAUGGCACAUACAGCUCAUAACAAUCAAAUUUAACCGUUUUAUGAACAUUGGGCGCUCACAAGCUAACCUCAAUCUAGGAAAUAAGCUGAAUAAGUAACGACUAUCUUAAAUAUCAACUUCAGACAACACACAUAAGUUAUCACAGCUUAGCUCCGUAAUUGUGGCCUAAGUAACGAAAAUAUAACCCUGAUUUUAGUUUAGUACUCAUGAAUAGAAAUUCGCAUAGAAUCCCACGGUAAGCCGCACAAUUGCUUCCAAAGUCACGCUUGCUCCUAAAACCGGCGAAUCUUGAGCCUUCGUGGAAUGCAAGAGAAGCGAGUGGCCUAAUAGAAUAAAUUUCAAUACAGCAAAAUCUAUUCAUUAAUAUUAAUCUUCGGCUAUAUAUGAGACCGGUAUAAUGUGCUUUUGUUUUUCUUGUUUAUUACCUCUAUUUUCGACUUGGGCGAUAAUAGCAGUAAAUAAAUGCCAUCGGUUUAAUGUACAAUCUUAUGUUUAUAAUGGUCGUUUAUUCUCACUAAUAUUAUGUUUAUUUGUGUGUCCUUCUUUCACGUAACGGAGCGAUUUAAUUAUGAGAUUUUUGUGUCUGGACAAAAAGGAGGCUAGAGAAUGACAUCGGAUAUGACAUGACGACGGUGUGGAAUCAGUCUGAGAGUGAAACGUCUCAUUCCCGUGGGAAUUUCCUUAGACCAGGCGGACCAAGCCGCAGGCACAAAGCUAGCUUGUAUUUUUAGAUAAUUAAGAACGUCACAUAACGGUUAAUUUGUUUGCAAUUUCUAGUUGAAUUAAUUGCUCCCUUAAUGUUUUACUUCAUUUUUACUA